UCUUGAAGCGACAGCUCUGGGCUUAAACAACAACCGAGAGAAGUGAGCGAGGCAGGUCGACCUGAGUAGCGAAAUGCACCGUAAUGAGGUGAUUCGCAAACUGAAGCAGGCCGGCUUGAGCAGCGAGGCGCACCGAACUGACGUGAUUCGCAGGCUCAUAAUUAAACGGUAGCCGUGAAGUGAACGAGGCAUCUAUCCAGGGGGACUUCCCUUCAACGGGCCAAUAUACAGAAUUAUAUUUUAUUUUUAUUUUGAUCUGUACAUAAUUAUCUUAAAUAUAUUUAUUUUGUGUUUAA
rnacentral:lncRNA from 1 species